AUGAUGAUGUAAUCACUGCUGGACUGAGACAUCAUGCUACAGAUGGCUUACCAGGAAACUAUGAUGAUGUCAUCAUUGUACAACAGAUCUCCAAUGAUAAAGCAGAGGGUGUUCAGGAGGAGUAUGAUGAUGUGAAGAAUGUCAGAGAAUAUAUGAGUGACAUGAUUGACUAUGAUGAUGUGGAGGAGGAUCCAGGGAAACAUGGAGUAACUGUGUAACUC